GAUCAGAUGCCCUCCUCUGGUGUGGCUGAAGACAGCUACAGUAUACGCAUAUAAAAUAAACAAAUAAUUCUUUAAAAAAAACUACAAGGUGGAAGAAAACCUUUGCUAAUUAUAUAUUAUACAGGGAAACAUAUCAAGAACCUUAAAAAUUAAACAACACAGAACCCCUCCCCCAAAUUUUCUAAUCAAUAAGUAGAUUAAUGAACAAAAUAGUUUUCAAAAUAAGAAGCAAUAAUGGCCAAAAAGUCUUUGGAAAUUGUUCAACAUCCUUAGCCAUUGGAAAAUAAAAAUAAAAAUACUUUGAGAUUCCAUCUCACCCUAGCCCACAUAUCAAGAAGAAAAUAAAGACAAGGAAUGCAUCUAAGGAUUAUAAGAAAGGGUACCUCUCAUUAAUUGCUGGUGGGAAUGUGAACAAGUCCAUGGCAAUCAGAAAAGAGAUUCCUCAGAACACUGAAAGCAGGACUAUCAUACAACCCAGCUAUAGAUAGAUGCCCCAAAGCAGCUUUGCCACAGAAGUACUGGAACACCCAAGUUUUUGUAGUACUAUUCACAAUAAGCAGGAAAUGUAGCAUUGUAGAUAUUCAUCAACCAACCAACCAAUUAAUCAAUAAUGCAAUGCAUAUAUGCAAUGGUAUUUAAUAUAGCAACAAAGAGAAAAGUGAAAUGAUGCUUGCAAGAGAAAGCAUAGAACUGGAGAUCAUCAUAUCCAGGUCUGGCAAAAAGCCAGACUCAGUGAUGAAAUAUUUUCUCUCACAUGUGGGUUUUAAAUUUUAAUGUGUAUAUUUUUGUGUAGAGGUGAGUGUACAAGUACAUGUAUGUGUCCUUGAGUGUGCAUGUGUGUGGCUGUGGUUGUGUUUGUGUGUGUGGUAUAGGUUUUAAAAGUGUAAGGGGUCCAUGAGGGGGAAAAAGAUAUCAUAAGAAAGUGAAUAGAAGAAGAGG
rnacentral:lncRNA from 1 species